UGAAGGUCAGUGAACCCGCAAGACACGUAUAAAUUUGAAUUAUAAAAAGGAGAUAGUUACUCCAUCUUCAA
rnacentral:tRNA from 1 species